rnacentral:rRNA from 1 species
AGAAUCAACGCUGGCGGCGUGCCUAACACAUGCAAGUCGAACGAGAAAGUGGAGCAAUCCAUGAGUAAAGUGGCGCACGGGUGAGUAACACGUGACUAACCUACCCUUGAGUGGGGAAUAACCUCGGGAAACCGGGGCUAAUACCGCAUAACACCUACGGGUCAAAGGAGCAAUUCGCUUAAGGAGGGGUCGCGGCAGAUUAGUUAGUUGGCGGGGUAAUGGCCCACCAAGACGGUGAUCUGUAUCCGGCCUGAGAGGGCGCACGGACACACUGGAACUGAAACACGGUCCAGACUCCUACGGGAGGCAGCAGUGGGGAAUUUGCGCAAUGGGGGAAACCCUGACGCAGCAACGCCGCGUGGAGGAUGAAGUCCCUUGGGACGUAAACUCCUUUCGAUCGGGACGAUUAUGACGGUACCGGAAGAAGAAGCCCGGCUAACUUCGUGCCAGCAGCCGC